ensembl:processed_transcript BC006965 cDNA sequence BC006965
UCCAUGGGAGACAAUGGUACAUUUCUGUGGGGUCACUAGCACCCUCAUGACUUGCUUACUCUUAACACUUACUUUUUUAACAGGUUGCAGAAGUAUGGCAACCGGUUCAUGUAUUCAACAGGUCAGGGGAGCUGUUACCACCGAAGGAAGGAUGAUAGUACUGACAGGACUGAUGGUAAUGAUGAUAUCUAACGUACAUGGAGCAGCUCUAUCUGCCAGACACUAAGAGGAGAAUGAAGAGAUGGAGGCAGGAUGUGUCAAUGUCUGAUGGACCACCUCACCAUCUGGGGAAGAGGGAUGCCUCUAGUGGGAUGAGAAACAGAAGAGCAAAAUCCCAAGUCCAAAGGACAUCAUGGAGGAAGGGAUUCUACUGGAGGGGCUCCACGUGGCUCAUCCCUUACAAAGAGAAUUGUGUUGCUGCAGAUGGCGAGCUGGCUCCGUGGGGAAAGGUGCUAGCCAUCAAGCCCCAUGAGCUCAGUUUGAUUCCCUGGGACCCACACAGUGGGAGAACUGACUCCUGCAAGAUGCUCUCUGAUUUCUUCUUUUUCUUUUUUGACAAAAAGUGAGAAAAUUCUUGCUAACUCUCUUAGUUCAGCCCACAGUCCUCCCAUCCUGCUAAUUAUUCCUAAAUUGAAAAUUAUCAGAAAAGAAGUUAUGCCUUGACAAGAUUUCAAGAUCCGCAUUCAUGGUCCACUCAAAUGAAGCAGGACC